GUUGAUGAAAAAUCUCAAGCACUCACUGUGAUACGUUCAACAUCUUUAAUGGAUAUCCAUUACAGCUGCUUAACGUAUCACAGUGAGUGCUUGAGAUUUUUUUUUAAUUCUUUAU